rnacentral:snRNA from 1 species
UGGAUUGAAGGGAGCUCU